GGAGAAGGGCUGUAGCUUAGUGGUAGAGCAUCUGCAGAAGGUCCCAGGUUGCUUUGGUCCCUGGUAUCUCCA